CGGGGUGAGUAAUGUCUGGGAAACUGCCUGAUGGAGGGGGAUAACUACUGGAAACGGUAGCUAAUACCGCAUAAUGUCUGCGGACCAAAGCGGGGGACCUCCGGGCCUCGCGCCAUCAGAUGAACCCAUAUGGGAUUAGCUUGUAGGUAAGGUAACGGCUCACCUAGGCGACGAUCCCUAGCUGGUCUGAGAGGAUGAUCAGCCACACUGGGACUGAGACACGGCCCAG
rnacentral:rRNA from 1 species